CCUACGGGUGGCAGCAGUAGGGAAUAUUGCUCAAUGGGGGAAACCCUGAAGCAGCAACGCCGCGUGGAGGAUGAAGGUUUUCGGAUUGUAAACUCCUUUUGUUAGAGAAGAUAAUGACGGUAUCUAACGAAUACGCCCCGGCUAACUCCGUUCCAGCAGCCGCGGUCAUACGGAGGGUGCAAGCUUUACUCGGAAUCACUGGGCGUAAAGCGCGCGUAGGCGGGAUAGCAAGUCAGCUGUGAAAUCCUAUGGCUUAACCAUAGAACUGCAUUUGAAACUGUUAUUCUAGAGUAUGGGAGAGGUAGGUGGAAUGCUUGGUGUAGGGGUAAAAUCCGUAGAGAUAAAGAGGAAUACUCAUUGCGAAGGCGACCUGCUAGAACAUAACUGACGCUGAUGCGCGAAAGCGUGGGGAGCAAACAGGAUUAGAUACCCUAGUAGUC
rnacentral:rRNA from 1 species